rnacentral:lncRNA from 1 species
UCAGAGACGGAAACAGAAUUUCUCAAACCUCAUGAAGACCUAUUGGUAAAUAUAUAUUUCUUUACAAUUAACCAUGGUUGGUUGUGGUUCAGUAAUUUGAAUCUCACUUUGUACAUUGUUUCCCUUCUUAGAAUGGACCAACCUACUUCAAUGGUUCCACGUUACCUCUUCCUAAGGAGAAACAUGAGGAAACACUAGCUGCAAGUGCUGCAGAGCAGCCUGAUGAAGAUUAUGAGUCAGAUACUGGUCUCGAUUCACUGGAUUUGCCUGAAGUCCCGAAAGCUGCUAUUCGUCCACCUACUGAUGCCCCAUCAACCCCAGAUAUUGGUCCACAUGAUCAAAGCUCUCAAUCAACUCCUCAUGAAUUCUCAAAUCCCAAUUUGCCUUCAGUCCCAAAAGCUGCAGUUUGUCCACCUCCUGACGUACCAUCAACCCAUGAUAUUGGUCCACAUGCUCAAACCUCCCAGUCAAUUCCUCAUGAAUUCUCAAAUCCUACCGACUUGGAGGAGAAUCCAACAGCUGAUGGUAUUUUUAAGAUUCAAA